AUGGUGGCCUAAGCGUAGCGUUUUUUGGCUCUUUGUUGCGUCACAUUGACGUCAAUACCAGCGCGUGUCCAAUGGGGGAACUUAAUUUCUUUCCAACUCGUGAGCAAGAUAGGAGCGAAAGUUUGCACGUUAAGUUUAUUUUAUUUUUAUUUUUUUGCAUACGUCACGGAGCCGUAACGCCGCUUGUCCAAUGAGAGGCCACCGAAAGAUCGCGUCCUAAACUCGAUUUGUCUGUACCGUGCAGUACUUAAAACGUUUCUACAACGAAGAUAUAUAUUGUUAUUAUAAUUAUAUAUAUACACAACGAUAUUUUAAUGAACUUAAGCGUUUAUAGAAAACGGAUGGAAGGAGAUUUUAAGUGGUUUUCACCUGUUAAAAUGGCGGUCGGACGAAACUGAUGAGCCCUGGGUCCAGUGCAACAGGGUGGCUGUCAAAGUUCAUAGAUGUGGAAGGAGCUGUUGGUGUGCUGGCCGCUGAAGUGGACGCUCAUCGUGACCUUAUUAUCCUCCUGUAGCCCACUGGUUCCAGCUGGUGAGAAGGUCAGCCAGCUGUACAUCAAACUGAUUCCCACGAUGAAAGGACACAUGCGUGGAUUGGGGAUUUUCUCUUCUUGACCCUGUGCUUGCGGUGCCGACGUCUGCGGCAGCAGGAUUUUCUUUACUCCUUCCGGCCUUUGAGGGGGGAGACGGAUAACUGGACGGGCCUCCCGGCGUGCGCUGGUGGUGGAUUCGUCCAGCAGUAUUUCUCUUUUUGGGUCAGCGUCAAUGACUUCCACUGAGGACGGAAUCACACUGUCAACACAAACAAACACACACAACAAUACUGUACAUACACACACACGCACUCACCAUCUGGCCCAGGACUAUAUUCACCGUUACACUGUCCUUGUCCUUAAAAAUAUUUUUUACAUUAGCCCUCUGCUCCUUCAGAAAAAUCAGGUAGGCGUUCGGUGGCUUUUUAAUAUAGGGCCGGUCAUCCUUGACCAAUUUCUACUUUCGUCUAUUAGGCAAAAAAAAAUACCAAACAAAAUUCAGCUCAGUUUCCUCGGUGUGUGGGUGACUGAGGAACUGUGGCGGAAUGAUGAGGAAUUCGGCAGCAUGGGGGGCCAAGACGGUUUGAGGAAUUAGCUGGUUUCUACACAAACACACAAAUACAUCAGACAACAUGUGACUAGUGUGUGUGCGUGUGUUACUUACAUGACUCUGACAGGAUUUGGGUGGACCUCCAUCAGCAAUCCUGGAGCAGAGUUGAUGAGCUGCUGAAACAACACAGUUACAGUUAGGACUGCUGGUCACAUUUCAACGCAAGACCAAGUUGUUCCUCUUGGGUUAUUACUGAAAGCCCUUGUUUAUCGUGGGGGUUUUGUUUAGGAACCAAUGUGAAUAAGCGACCAUAUAGUUAUUUUGUUAUUUAUACAUAUUUGAAUGCUUUAUGGAUUAUACAAAAUAUGCAUGUGAGGUGCAGGUAUUAUCUUUGUCCACUUAGGGUCGCCAACAUCACAUUGUACACUGUAGUAUCUGUGCCUUUGAACGUGUGUGGCUUUUAAAUGGCGGGGCCUGGCCCGAUGAGUGACGUCAUUGUCAGGGAAUGAGAGGGUAGAGUUGUUUUUUUUAACUCUUGUGGGGGCGCUAGUGAGUCAACAUUAGUGUGGUGACUUACAAUUUAUUGAGGAGCAGGCAACUCGUGGGUUACUGCCACUGUCUCCAGGUAUGCCGAAACCUGCCACGGCUGCUGUGGACAAAUACAAAAUACAUAUUAUAUAGUGUGGUAUGUAGUAUAGUCAUAUAAUAUAUAAAAUGUAAAACAUUCCAGUGUAUUGUGACUUGUAGAACACAAACUGUAAAUGCUUUGGGUCCCGUUACCAAAUAUGCUUCAUAACUCAAAAGGUUUACACACCCGUUAAAAUGCCAGGUUUUUGUAAUAUAAAAAAAUGAGACCAAGAUAAAUUAAAACUUUUCCAUUCAUGUCAACUACAAACCGUGCCGCUCAGUUGACAAAAAAAUUGAGAGGGGAAAAAAAACUGGACGCAACAGUGUUCAGAUUUAAUUUUGACUGGCUGGCAACCAGUUCAGGGUGUGGUCCGCCUUUCGCCCGAAGUCAGCUGGGAUAGGCUCCAGCGCCCUGCGACCAUAACCAGGAUAAGCAGUGUUGAAAAUGGAUGGAUGGGUGCAAAUGCACGCGACCAGGUUAUUGUACCCUGAUUUCAAUUUGUUUUUCAAAUGAGUUGCGCAGGUUACAGGUGACACUAAAGGUGGAAAAUAUUUUUGAAUUAUCUUGGUCUCAUUUUGUACACUACAAAACCUGUCAGUUGAAACGGGGUGUGUAGACUUUUUACAUCCACUGUC